rnacentral:lncRNA from 1 species
ACCGGUCUCUCCUUCAGGGACCGGUCCCCGAGAGCUGCAAACCUGCAGAAUGCAUAUUUCACAAUUUUAGCUCUCGAAAACCUCCCUUAACUCACUUUCGAUCAUUUUAACACAUUCGGACUUUCCGAAGUGUACCAUCCUCGCACUUUGGUCAAUUUGACUAAAGUUCGAUAUUUAUUUUCUGAAUUUUCGGUAUAUUACACGUCUAAAACGGAAAUAGGGGACGGAUGCUGUGGCGGAGAGAGGAGAAGAAACGAUUUAUUGUAACGGACAUGAGAAGAAGCAAGAUCGCGCGAAGGGGGAGCGAUUUACUGUAACAGACAUGAGAAGAAGCAAGGUCGUGCGGAGGCGGAGCGAUUUACUAUUUUUCGUGAAGAAUAAGCAUGGUCGCGUGUAUUGGUUCAGUUUGAUUUAGAGGUUUAGAUAGUGAACGGUUCGCAUCGGUUCAGUUUGGUCCUAUUCGGUUUAGAGGUUCAGAGAGAGGCAGUUCAAUAGUUCGUUGCAGAUGUUUAGAGACAACAGUUCUAUAGGCAAAAUAGGCAAAACUGUAGCAACGAUGAGGGUAGAACAAUCGACCAGGGUAGACGAAUCGGCGGACGGUAGAUUUGAUGAGACACGAUCCAUCUGAAAUGGUGGUAGAUUUUAGGAGACAUGAUCUCGUCGAUCCCGUCUAAAACUGAAAUAGGGGACGGAUGCUGCGGCGGAGAGAGAAGAAGAAACGAUUUAUUUAAUGGACAUUAGAAGAAGCAAGGUCGCGCGGAGGGAGAGCGAUUUAUUGUAACGAACAUUAGAAGAAACAAGGUCGUGCGGAGGCGGAGCGAUUUACUAUUUUUCGUGGAGAAGAAGGAAGGUCGUGUGUAUUGGUUUGGUUUGAUUUAGAGGUUUAGAUAGUGAACGGUUCGCUUCGGUUCGGUUUGGUUCGGUUUGGUUCAGAGGUUCAGAGAGAAGUAGUUCAAUGAUUCGGUUCAGCUGUUUAGAGACAACAGUUCGGUUCGGUUCGGUUCAGAGGUUCAGGAGAGACAGUUCAAGACUAAAUUACCAGUCAUUCUGGAAAGUAAUAAACGGUUAGAAAUUCUAUGUUGAUCAAAAAGGAACAAUUCAUGGCAAAGAGAACUACUAACCUGAAACUCUAGCAAGAAGGAAACGUCCACAUCUUGUAAAUGUGAGCGUCGAUUUCUAGGGAUAAGACAAUAAGAUUAUUAUAUAAGAAAGAAAUAUUUGAUCUGAAUACCUAAAUUUCUUAUCGUUCAGAUUUUGGAAUAAUAACAUCAGAUGAUGGUUUCUAAUUGAGGCAAGGAUGGAUAUUAUAGGCAAAAUUGUAGCAGCGAGGAAGGUAGAAGAAUCGGCCAAGGUAGAGGAAUCGACAGACAGUACAUUUGAUGAGACACGAUCCAUCUGAAACGGUGGUAGAUUUUAUGAGACAUGAUCUCGUCGAUCCCGUCUAAAAUGGAAAUAGGGGACAGAUGCUGCGGCGGAGAGAGGAGAAGAAACGAUUUAUUGUAACGGACAUGAGAAGAAGUAAGGUCGCGCGAAGGGGGAGCGAUUUACUAUAACAGACAUGAGAAGAAGCAAGGUCGUGCGAAGGCGGAGCGAUUUACUGUUUUGCGUGGAGAAGAAGCAAGGUCGUGUGUAUUGGUUUGGUUUGAUUUAGAGGUUUAGAUAGUGAACGGUUCGCUUCGGUUCGGUUUGGUUCGGUUUGGUUCAGAGGUUCAGAGAGAGGUAGUUCAAUAGUUCGGUUCAGAUGUUUAGAGACAACAGUUCGGUUCGUUUCGGUUCAGAGGUUCAGAGAGAGACAGUUCAAGACUAAAUUACAAAUCAUUCUAGAAAAUAAUAAACGGUUAGAAAUUCUAUGUUGAUCAAAAAGGAACAAUUCAUGGCAAAAAGAACUACUAACCUGAAACCCUAGCAAGAAGGAAACGUUUAGAUCUUGUAAAUGUGAGCAUCGAUUUCUAGGGAUAAGAUAAUAAGAUUAUUAUAUAAGAAAGAAAGAUUUGAUCUUAAUAUCUAAAUUUCUUAUCGUUCAGAUUUUGGAAUAAUAACAUCAGAUGAUGGUUUCGAUCUGAAGCAAGGAUGGAUUUUAUAGGCAAAAUUGUAGCAGCGAGGAAGGUAGAAGAAUCGGCCAUGGUAGAGGAAUCGACAGACGGUAGAUUUGAUGAGACACGAUCCAUCUGAAACGGUGGUAGAUUUUAUGAGACACGAUCUCGUCGAUCCCAUCUAAAACGAAAAUAGGGGACGGAUGCUGCGGCAAAGAGAGGAGAAGAAACGAUUUAUUGUAACGGACACGAGAAGAAGCAAGGUCGCGCAGAGGGGGAGCGAUUUACUGUAACAGACAUGAGAAGAAGCAAGGUCGUGCGGAGGCAGAGGGAUUUACUAUUUUUCUUGGAGAAUAAGCAAGGUCGCGUGUAUUGGUUCAGUUUGAUUUAGAGGUUUAGAUAGUGAACGAUUCGCAUCAGUUCAGUUUGGUCCUGUUCGGUUUAGAGGUUCAGAGAGAGGUAGUUCAAUGGUUCGGUUCAGAUGUUUAGAGACAAUGGUUCUAUAGGAAAAAUAGGCAAAAAUGUAGCAGCGAUGAGGGUAGAAGAAUCGGCCAGGGUAGAGGAAUCGGCGGACGGUAGAUUUGAUGAGACACGAUCCAUCUGAAACGGUGGUAGAUUUUAUGAGACACGAUCUCGUCGAUCCCAUCUGAAAUAGAAAUAGGGGACGGAUGCUGCGGCGGAGAGAGGAGAAGAAACGAUUUAUUGUAACGGACAUGAGAAGAAGCAAGGUCGCGCGGAGGGGAAGAGAUUUAUUGUAACGGACAUGAGAAGAAGCAAGGUCGUGCGGAGGCAGAGCGAUUUACUGUUUGGCGUGGAGAAGAAGCAAGGUCGUGUGCAUCGGUUUGGUUUGAUUUAGAGGUUUAGAUAGUGAACGGUUCGCAUCGGUUCGGUUUGGUUCGGUUUGGUUCAGAGGUUCAGAGAGAGGUAAUUCAAUGGUUCGGUUCAGAUGUUUAGAGACAACAGUUCGGUUCGGUUCGGUUCGGUUCGGUUCGGUUCGGUUCAGAGGUUCAGAGAUAGGCAGUUCAAGACUAAAUUACCAAUCAUUCUAGAAAAUAAUAAACGGUUGGAAAUUCUAUAUUGAUCAAAAAGGAACAAUUCAUGGCAAAGAGAACUACUAACCUGAAACCCUUGCAAGAAGGAAACGUCCAGAUCUUGUAAAGGUGGGCGUUGAUUUCAAGGGAUAAGACAAUAAGAUUAUUAUAUAAGAAAGAAAGAUUUGAUCUGAAUACCUAAAUUUCUUAUCGUUCAGAUUUUGGAUUAAUAACAUUAGAUGAUGGUUUCAAUCUAAGGCAAGGAUGGAUUUUAUAGGCAAAAUUGUAGCAGCGAGGAAGGUAGAAGAAUCGGCCAGGGUAGAGGAAUCGGCAGACGGUAGAUUUGAUGAGACACGAUCCAUCUGAAACGGUGGUAGAUUUUAUGAGACACGAUCUCGUCGAUCCCGUCUAAAACGGAAAUAGAGGACGGAUGCUGCGGCGGAGAGAGGAGAAGAAAUGAUUUAUUGUAACGGACGGGAGAAGAAGCAAGGUCGCGCAGAGAGGGAGCAAUUUACUGUAACAGACAUGAGAAGAAGGUCGUGCGGAGGUGGAACGAUUUGCUAUUUUUCGUGGAGAAUAAGCAAGGUCGCGUGUAUUGGUUCAGUUUGAUUUAGAGGUUUAGAUAGUGAACGGUUCGCAUCGGUUCAGUUUGGUCCUGUUCGGUUUAGAGGUUCAGAGAGAGGCAGUUCAAUGGUUCGGUUCAGAUGUUUAGAGACAACGGUUCUAUAGGCAAAAUAGGCAAAAAUGUAGCCGCGAGGAUGGUAGAAGAAUCGGCCAGAGUAUAGGAAUUGGCGGACGGUAGAUUUGAUGAGACACGAUCUAUCUUAAACGGUGGUAGAUUUUAUGAGACACGAUCUCGUCGAUCCCGUCUGAAACUGAAAUAGGGGACGGAUGCUGCGGCGAAGAGAGAAGAAGAAACGAUUUAUUGUAACGGACAUGAGAAGAAGCAAGGUCGCGCGGAGGGGGAGCGAUUUAUUGUAACGGACAUGAGAAGAAGCAAUGUCGUGCAGAGGCCGAGCGAUUUACUGUUUGGCGUGGAGAAGAAGCAAGGUCGUGUGUAUUGGUUUAGUUUGAUUUAGAGGUUUAGAUAGUGAACGGUUCGCUUCGGUUCGGUUUGGUUCGGUUUGGUCCAGAGGUUCUGUCACG